rnacentral:rRNA from 1 species
CACGUAGGCGGACCGGAAAGUUGGAGGUGAAAUCCCAGGGCUCAACCUUGGAACUGCCUUCAAAACUAUCGGUCUGGAGUUCGAGAGAGGUGAGUGGAAUUCCGAGUGUAGAGGUGAAAUUCGUAGAUAUUCGGAGGAACACCAGUGGCGAAGGCGACUCACUGGCUCGAUACUGACGCUGAGGUGCGAAAGCGUGGGGAGCAAACA